rnacentral:tRNA from 1 species
GGAGAUUUAGUUUAGCGGUUUAAGCACCUGCCUUGCAAGCAGGUAGUCAUGAGUUCAAUCCCCU